UUUCCCUCUUCCUUCUCUUCUUCCUCCCUUUCUCCAUUUCCGUUUCUUUAUUUUUUUUGGUGCUCCAUUUCCAUUGCUUUCAUUUUUAUUGAAGUGGUUGGAUCGUUUGCAAAGAGGAGUGUGCUUCUGUUGGUGCUUCUGUUAGUUUGCAAAGAGGAGUGUGAGGUAUUCGAAGAGUUUUCGAUUUGAGAGGUCGCCAUAAGGACAGGACUUCGGAUCAAGGAGGUGCCGGCGGAGCGGGUGGAGCCCAUGAGGGAGGAGGUGCCAGCGGAGGAGGAGUGGAUGGAGACCACGGGGAAGGAGGUGCUGGCGGAGGAGGGGAAGAAGGUGUCGGCGGAGGCGGAGUGGGUGGAGCCCACGUGAAAGAAGGUGUCGGCGGAGGUGAUUGCGCCGGAGGAGGGGGAGAAGGUGUCGGCGGAGUGGGUAGAGUCCACGUGGGCGGCACCUUGCAUGUCUAGCGCUGUUCAAUCAAUGUUUAGCAGUUCCUCGUCCAGGUUGUCGAAUCCUCUCGGUCACCUAUUCCAUCUAAAUUUAUGACAAUUUAAGUUCAAUUCAAAUAACCGUUUUCAGUUAAUAUUAAUAAAUA
rnacentral:sRNA from 1 species